rnacentral:lncRNA from 1 species
UUUUUUUUUUUUUUUUUUUGCUUUUAUGACCCAGCAAUCCCACUCUUGGGAAUAUAUCGGGAUAAAACUCUCCUUGAAAAACACACAUGCAUCCAUUUGUUCAUUGCAGCACUAUUCACAAUAGCCAAGACAUGGAAACAAUCUACAGGUCCAUCAACAAAUGAUUUGAUUAAAAAGAUGUGGUAUAUAUACACAAUGGAAUACUACUCAGCCAUAAAAAAGAACAAAAUAAUGCCAUUUGCAGCAACACGGAUGGAACCACAGACUCUUAUAUUAAGUGAAGACAGAAAGUGAAAGACAAAUACCAUAUGAUAUCACUCAUGGGAUCUAAUACCUGGCACAGAUGAACCUUUCUGCAGAAAAGAAAAUCAGGGACAUGGAGAACAGACUUGUGGUUGCCAAGGGGGAGGGAGUGGGAUGGAUUGGGAAUUUGAGGUUAAUAGACAUAAACUAUUACCUUUGGAAUGGAUAAGCAAUGAGAUCCUGCUAUACAGCCCUGGGAACUACAUCUAGUCCCUUAGGUUGGAAGAUGAUGAUGUGAGAAAAAGAAUGUAUACAUGUAUAUGUCUGGGUCACUUUGCUGUACAGUGGAAAAUUGACAGAACACUGUAAACCAGCUAUAAUUGAAAAAUAAAAAUCAUUAUAAAAACAAAAUAAAAAUUAAAAAAAAAGGAACCCAUCAUGAGGCACCACACUCAUGACUUAAUCACCACCCAAAGGCCUUGCCUCCUAAUAAUAUCACACUGAGAUAUAGCAUUUUCAACACAUGGCCGUGGGAGGACACAAAUAUUUACUUCAUAACAGCACCUGAAUUAACAAAUUAUUAUCAUUAAAAACAAUAUAAAUAUGCAAGCAUAGUAAUAUUCAGAUUAAACUAUUGGUUUUUGAUCUUUUCUAAUCUUCACAGCAACUUUAUGAAUCAGACUAAAAUUGUAUAAUUUUGUUGUCAAUCUAGAAUUAACGGUAUGGACUGUCAAAAGGGGUAAGAGAUCUUUUUGAAGUCAUGUUGUUAGGAGUAUUGUCAUGUCCAGGGCUCAAGGUACCUGACUACUAUCCUCAUGACGAAUAGUUAAUGAGUCACUAUUAUUUACCAAGAAAUUUUUAUAGCUUUUGCCAAAAAAAGCUACAAUGUAUGCACAGAUACUAUUCUCAGUUUCCUCUUGAGGAGAAAACUGGGACUCAGAUCAGUUAAACAAUUCAUCCAUGAUAACACAGCAGGAAAAUGGCAAUGCAAUAUUUAUGGCACGGUCUAUAUGAAAAAACACAUUCUCUUAGCCAUUUAAUUUUGUGACUCUCAGGCUAUUUUGUCAAGUUUUUUCUUUGUGUUAUAUAAUAAGCAAAGAUGUAGGAUUUCAGUGAAAGAGGACCCAAUAUAGCUUAAUGUAGCAGAAAAAAAUUAAUGAGAAAAAUGAAAAGAAUAAAAAGAGAAAUAUAAGUAAAAAGUUGAAAAACAGCAUAAUUAAGAACACAGAAAUGAACAUAUCAUAAGAAAUAACUGUGUAGCUUAAUUACAGUAUUUACCAUUCAAGAUCUAUAGUUCCAGAAGUACGUUGAAUACCAGUGGUGAGUGGACAUUCUUAUCUUAUUCCUAAUUUUAGUGGAAAUGCUUUCAGUUUUCACCACUGAGAAUGAAGUUAGCUGUGGGCUUUUCAUAUAUGGCUUUUAUUAUGUUGAGGUAGGUUCCUUCUAUUCCAAUUUUCUGGAGAGAUUUUAUUAGAAAUGGGUAUUGAAUUUUGUCAAAAGCUUUUUCUGCGUCUAUUGAGAUGAUCAUACAGUUUUCAUUCUUCAGUUUGUUGAUGUGGUUUAUCACACUGAUUCAUUUAUGGAUAUUGAAAACAUAUAGAUAGCCAAUAGGCAUAUGAAAAGAUGCUCAACAUCACUAAUUAUUAGAGACAUGCAAAUCAAAACGACAAUGAAGUAUCACCUCAUACCAGUCAGAACAGCCAUCAUCAAAAAAUCUACAACUAACAAAGACGGGAGGGAGUGUAGAGAAAAAAGAACCCUCCCAACAUUGUUGGUGGGAAUGUGAAUUGGUGCAACCACUUUGGAGAACAGUGCAAAGAUUCCUCAAAAAACUAAAUGCAGAACUACCAAAUCAUGCGGCAGUCCCAUUCCUGGGCAUAUAUCUGGACAAAACUGUAAUUCAAAAGAUACAAGCACCUCUGUGUUCAUUGCAGUGUUAUUCAAAAUAACCAAGACACGGAAACAACUUAAAUGUACACUGGCAGAUGAAUGGAUUAUGAUGUGGUACAUACAUACAAUGGAAUACUACUCAGCCAUAAAGGAAUGAAAUAAUGCUGUCUGCAGAAACAUGGAUGCAACUAGAGAUGAUCAUACUGAGCAAAGUAAGCCAGAAAGAGAAAGACAGAUACCAUAUGAUAUUACUAAUAUGUGGAAUCUAAAACAUGGCACAAAGGGACCUAUCUACAAAAGAGAUACAGACUCAGACAGAGAGAACAGAGUUGUGGUUGACCAGGAGGUGGGGGAAGGGAGUGGGAUGGACUGGGAGUUUGUGAUUAGUAGAUGAAAAUUAUUACCUUUAGAAUGGAUAAGAAAUGAGGUCCUACUGUAUAGUACAGGGAACUAUAUCCAGUCUCCUGGGAUGGACCAUGAUGGAAGAUAGUGUGAGAAAAGAAUGUAUACAUAUGUAUACAUUUCUGUGCAGCAGAAAUUGGCACAACACUGUAACUCAACUAUAAUUUAAAACAAGAGAUCUGUAAUCCCAGUUAUGAAAGUUGAUAAAUUAUAAAUAAUUUUGCCUAUUACUUGACUAGCUUUAUGCACAUACUAAGAGUGAGAUCUUCAUUCAGGGAAUCCACGCAGCGGUGCAACUGUAUGUUAAAACUCAACCUCAGGGAUGAUCUUUGGCUCCCUUUAUUUGCACGGUCCUUAAUUUCACAGGGAUACAUCACAGUGUUUCCUGGCCAUCAAUUCUUGAACAAAAGUCACUGUAAGUGCUUAAUUUCAUAGGGAUACAUCACAGUGUUUCCUGGCCAUCAAUUCUUCAACAAAAGUCACUGUAAGUGUCUUCUAUAGAAUUCAGAAAACAAAACGAGGAGCUACUGUUCAAGUCAAUUUCCUCUUCAAUUAAUCUCUGCAUGGUCAGAACAUCUUAUCAUGGCUUUGUUUUAUUCACUAGCCAAGGAUGUAAUUUUGAGCUGGCUUGCAGUUUUGAGCGAUAUCAGCUGUACCAUAAAUUAAAGCUUUGUAAGAUAUAGCAGCAGGAGGGUAACACUGUAAGCCAAGGUAAUAACCACAGAAAUAGAGAGAAGAGAAGUGUGGGGAAGAAUAUUUUGGACGCUAAAGACUGUAUAAAAGGAGAUUUAAAAUGAUCUGGUAAUUAUUCUGAAAGUUAGGAUAAAGGAAUAACUCAUACGUAGGGGUGUGAAAUAAUCCAAUCUCAGUGUUAGGAAGAACUUUUGUCACUGAGUGAUAGAUUUUAUGGAGAGAUGGAAUGUUAAAAGCACAAGUUAUCUUUGUUUUCAAUUUAAAAAAAUCGUUGAUCAACCAGUAUUUAGCAAGUAGCUAGUAUAUGUCAAAUACUUCCAUACCACGGUGAAAAAUCUAGGUAUGAUUCCAGCCCUUGACCCACAGUAUAGUUGGAAAAACAGAAAUUAAAUAAGUUGGAGUAUUAUGAAAAGAAGUUAACAACUGUGAAAAUAUGAGGAAUAUAUUUCUCACUGGAAACUCAACCAACCUCAGUAUUGAAAACCUGAUGAUUCAUUGCAGUCAUGCUUUUUGGAACUUCUGACAAAUUCAUUAGUUAUGAUUUUAUUCCAAAUACUAAUUCUCUCAUUUUAUCAAUCUAUGUUCAUAAGAGUUAAUUACCAAAUCUAUAAAGCUAAUAAUAUUUAUAAUGGUACCAUUUAUAAAAAUCAUGCUCAAACUAAUGUUAAAGCAUACAGAAAUCCAAACCAGAAUAUUAUUAGGAAUAGAUGAAAACAGAAAAAGGGGAAAUAAUGUCUGAUGGAGCAGGUUGGAACACUUGGAUUAAUGGAAGCAGAGACAGGCAAAUCAGGGAGGGUUUUGAGUCUCAUUCCCUCACUUACUCAGAGGAAAAGCUUUAAGGUGUGUGGGGAGGUGGACACAGGACAUUGUAGAACACAUGGAGGGUUGAUGUCAACGUAUGGAUGUAUCAUUUCCGUGUACUCGAGAAAUUCUCUGUUUCUCUGUGUGUAAAACCUAGGAUGGUAUUUGUAAUAUCAUUUCCGUGUACUCGAGAAAUUCUCUGUUUCUCUGUGUGUAAAACCUAGGAUGGUAUUUGUAAUAUCAUUUCCGUGUACUCGAGAAAUUCUCUGUUUCUCUGUGUGUAAAACCUAGGAUGGUAUUUGUAAUAUCAUUUCCGUGUACUCGAGAAAUUCUCUGUUUCUCUGUGUGUAAAACCUAGGAUGGUAUUUGUAAUAUCAUUUCCGUGUACUCGAGAAAUUCUCUGUUUCUCUGUGUGUAAAACCUAGGAUGGAUGGUAUUUGUAAUAUCAUUUCCGUGUACUCGAGAAAUUCUCUGUUUCUCUGUGUGUAAAACCUAGGAUGGUAUUUGUAAUAUCAUUUCCGUGUACUCGAGAAAUUCUCUAUUUUUCUGUGUAUAAAACCUAGGAUGGAUUUUAUGUGUUUAUCAGUCAUUACUUCAAUUGUUGGACUGUGAAAUCAAAAACCAAGUUAAGCACAUGUGCAGUUUUAAAAACCACAUUCAUAAAAACACAUCUUGGUUUGAGAGAAUUGGGAGUAAAAAUAGGAUUCCUUUCAGUCUUUGUGGUUAAGAAGCAAAGAGACUCUACUUUCAAAGAGGAAAUUAGAUGUCCUUAUGAAAAGGCGUGAGCUGUCAAAUUAUUUUUCCAGUCCUUUAAUCAUCGUAAUAUUCAUUGAUAAAAUUUUUUGACCUAGUAAUUUGUAUAUUUACUAGGAAAGGUCCAACAUCAAUUUUGAAUCCAACGGAUUUUUUUCAAACUUAGAGAGUUGUAACAAAUAUUUACUGAUAUGUUAAUUGAUAAAAUGACCAUGUUCAAAAUGGUCUCAAGAGAGGUGAGAAAAAUAUUUUAAUUCAUAAAAUAAUUUAUAAUCAUCCUGACAUUCUCUUCGUUGUUGAGAGGAUGGUCAGAUAAAGUUCAUUGUUGCUUUUUUACUUUUUUUCUAAUGGCUGCACUCAUGGCAUAUGGGAACUCCCAGGCCAGGGACUGAGUCCAAGACACUGCAACUGUGGCGAUGCCAGAUUCUUUAACCCACUGUGACAGGCUUGGGAUUGAAUCUGCUCAUGCUUGAGAUUUCAACUCAGAAAAAAAAAAAAAAAUAUGUAUGUGUGUGUGUGUGUAGGCAGAAUUAAGUAAAGUAGGGAGAAUGACACCCACGAAAUGAACCAGGAUUUCAUUUCUCUUCUUCUUCUUUUUUUUUUUUUUUGCUUUUUUAGGGCCGUACUUGUGCCAUAUGGACACUUCCAGGCUGGGGUUUGAAUCUGAAUCAGAGCUGCAGCUGCUGGCCCACAUUGCAGCCACAGCAACAAGGGAUCUGCGU